AUGGACUUGCUGGUUCUUCUGGAGAUCACACUUACAUGGGAACCAGAAUCCCUGGCUGUCUCUCUGGGAGAGAGAGUCUCCAUCAGUUGCAAGGUCAGUCAGAGAGUCCUAUAUGGAAGGGAGUCCGGGACUGACUUCACUCUCACCUUCAGCAGCCUGGAUAUUGAGGAUGCUGCAGUCUAUAACUGUCUUCAAACACUCAAGAAUCCUUACACAGUGAUUGAGCCCCUAACUCCCCACCUGGGUCUGCCCACAGAGCCCGGCAGCCCCAUAUCUGUUCCUCACUCAAGAGUUGCUCUGACAGACAUAGUUGAAGAUAUUUAA